AUGGCGCGGUUCUGAAAUUUUCGGGCAAAAAUUUCAUACAUCAUGUCUUUUUUUCCCUCAAAACACCAAAAUCCCUAACACUCCCUCUCACUCGAUCACCUCCCUCAUCACACUCACUCUCAAUCUCACUGUCACUCUUGAUCUCUCUCCCUCAAAAACACCCCCCUCUCACUCGAUCUCUCUCUUGCUUCUCUGCUGUCUUCAACGGAUCUCUCUAGGACUCUCCACCGACUUCAAUCUCUAUAUAAGUGAUCAACCAAGUUUUCCCCACUCUCCACUGUCUCUUGAUCUCAGGCAAAUCUGCAGAAGUUGAUAGCAUUAGAAAAGAAACCUGGGCUCCCUAAUGUUUUUGUUAGAUGUAUCUGUACUUUGCUUGAUGCAGUUCCACACUUCAACUUCCGGGAGAGAUUGUUAGGUGUUGUUUUCAGAAACUUAGGUUCCUCAGAUGAUGUCGUAAGGAAAACAUGGUGGUGAAGCUACUAUGGAGGCUGUAAGGCUGAUUGUAGAUCACGUGAAAGAUAAUAAUUGCCAGUUGCAUCCUGAUUUUGUUGAGCUGGAAUUUUCGUGCACCAGAUCAAAACAUCCGCAAAUAAACUGCAUCAGAUCCACAUAUUAGAUUUGCAUGCUAAGGAACAUUCCAGAACGUCAACAGUGUAGAUGCCGCAACUUCAAGCCCGAUUUCUACCUUGAUGUGAUUCCUCAUUUGAGAGCUGCUGAGUAUAAGAGGUCUAGGUUAUUGAGGAAUAGGACGACUGCUAACCGGGCUUAUGGUGGAGUUCUUUCUGGUGGUGCUGUAAGGAAAAGGAUUGUUCGAGCCUUUUUGGUGGAAUAGUUCUAUGAUUCUGUGAAGAGAAAACACAUAGAACUUGGGGUUUUGCAAAGAACGAAGACUCUAUUGACAAUCCUUGAAGCUCAAGUACAUUGAUGAAUAUUCCUGGGAAGACAAAGGACACAACCAACGCACGAAGAGAUUUACAUGAGAUGGGUAAACGUAAAGAAUUGCACUUGCGAACAAACGGUGCCACCACCACGAUGCCACUUGCGGCGUACGCUUUGACAAGAGAUGAGAAGAACCGGUUAUGUGAGUGGCUGAAAUGUGUGAAAUUUCCUAACGGGUAUGCGUCUAACAUUGGUUGAUGUGUGAACAAGCAACCUGGCAGGAUAUUAGGAAUGAAAAGCCACGAUUGUCAUGUCUUUUUACAGCGCUUACUUCAUGUUGCAAUCCGUGAAAAAUUAAUGCCUGAAAUAGAAACAACAUUGAUUGAGAUGGGUAAUUUUUUUAAGCAGCUGUGUGCACGUACAUUAAAAGUAGAUAUUUUGAAGCAAAUGAAGGUUGACAUUGUCGUCAUUCUAUGCAAGAUGGAACAAAUAUUUCCACCAGCAUUUUUUGAUGUUAUGGUCCAUCUAGCGGUUCAUUUACCUCGAGAGGCUGAGCUUGGGGGAGCAGUACAAAACUGUUGGAUGUAUCCAAUGGAAAGGACGCUUGGUAAACAUAAGAGGAGUGUGCGGAACAAAGUGCGACCGGAGGGUUCAAUUGCUGAGGCUUAUUUAGUUGAUGAGUGUUUGACAUUUUGCUCAACGUAUCUUCGUGGGAUUGAGACAAGAUGGAACUGUGAAGAGCGAAAUGUUGAUGGCUGUUUGGAACAAACGGAACAAGGCCUUCAUGUGUUCUCUCAGCGAGUUCGACCGUUGGGUGCGGUAAAAUAUGUGACACUUGAUGAGAACAUUUUUGCAAGAGCUCGAUGGUAUGUGCUUGGCAACUGUAAUGAAACGGCUUCAUACUUUCAUGAACACUAUCAGAUAAUCGAAAGGGAAGGCGGCCAUGAUAUUGAGAAGAAGCAUGAGGCCACAUUUGAGCGUUGGUUUCGAGAUAAUAUAUAUAGUGGUGGGCGUAAUGCAUAAAAUGUCCCAGAACAAUUAUAUCAUCUUUCACUUGGGCCUGAUCGUCAAGUUAGAUCCUAUAAAGGUUGCAUUGUGAAUGGGGUUAGGUUCUACACAAAAGAAUGUGCAGAAACUCGUACUGCCCAGAACAGUGGAGUUGUUGUUAAAGGUGGGUACAACACGUCAGACGAUGAGUACUAUGGUGAGUUGAAGAAUAUUUUUGAGUUAUGUUACCCAAGCCGAAAUUGGGUGUAUCUAUUUGAGUGCGAUUGGUGGGACACUAGGAUUAAUACGCGGGGAAUAAGAAAAGAACAAGGUUUUACAAUUGUGAAUACUUCUCGUAAAUGGUAUGAGUCCGACCCGUUCAUAUUAGCAUGCCAAGAUGCGCAAGUGUUUUACUUGAAUGAUCCUAAAUUGGGUGGUAGUUGGAAAGUGGCGCAGGUGUUGACCAAUAGAAACACAUACUACAAUCCAACAGUGGUAGGGGAAGAUAGUGACAAUGAUGACCAAAGAACCAACAAUGAGGUAUAACUGGAAAAUGAAUGUGCUGGGGGGUAAUAUUGUCAUUGUUGAAAACUCUACUAUGUUACAUAGAGAUGAUUCAACAAUACCUAUUGAUGAAUUAUAUGUGCAACUUGAUGCAAGCAUGUUCACUAACGAUAACCCUUCGAUUGAGGAGCAUAAUACUAACUCCGAUAAUGAAGAAGAGUUAAGUAGCAACUAUGAUACAGAUUCUGAACACACAGAGAACUCUAAACAUGAGCAGUCAUCCUCAAGCAACAAUGAUACAGACUAUGAGACAAAAUGACCAAAUCUAUCAUAGCAACUAGAAAUGGUGAUAGGCCAAAGCAAAGGUCAUGGCCGAGUUCGAGACCAAGGUCGAGGCUUGUGCAUGUCGAGGACGAUAUGGACAUGCUAUCAAUGGUGCCCCCCGGCUCGGCGGUGGCCCAUCCUUCCGAAGAGCCUUCUGAUCACAUACACUCAUCAGGAGUUGCAUCCACCAAAAGCUAUAAGUGAAUAUACGGUCUUUUUCUUAUUACUUUGUUGCAUACACUUUGCAAACUACUUCGCUAGAUACAACUAACUACGUUUCCAUAUUUUGAUUAAUAGCUAGCACGUCCGUUAGAUGGCCAAGGGGUAAAAACAAGAAUUUGAGGUUCAAUGCUAUGAUAAAUAAGGAUGGUCUGCUUACUUUGGAAUUCAAUGAUAAGUAUCAGGUACCUGUGGGCGAAAAUGCCGAGGUGUGGUCAAGGAUAAUUUCUAAGAUUGUGUGGGAUCAUUGCGACCUCCAUUAUGAUAGUUGGAGCAAGGUCCUGAAUGUAAUGGUGAAGAACUUGGGAGAACGUGUGAAGGUUUAAAUCUCAUUGUGUAUGUGUAUUAUGUCGCUACAAAUAAUGUGACAAAUGUUUGACCAUUAUUUUUGUAAUUACUAUGUCUAAGGGUAAGUUUGCUUUGGAAAUGGUGCUAAAGAAGUACAAGGAUUGCUUAAAUUAUCAAUUACGUCUGACCUAUAGGAGACAUCGCUCCGAUUUGCACUUAGAUCACUACAAAAUUUAUUUUGAAAAUGUGAACAGCGAGGAUUUGGUAGCGGUGGCCAAUGCUAAACUUGAGGCGAGGGCCAAUGUUCCAGGAGGUAUUUCUUCGGAACAAUAGCCUGCUAUAUGUGAUUCAUUCGAAACCGUCUCGUAGAAGAAAAAAUCUGAGCGAAAUAAGAAAAAUAGAGCAGAGAUGCAAACAAAUCAUAAUGCUGGCACCUCGUCAUUUGUCAAUGCUAUUCACAAAAAGAAUGAAAUGAAAUGAAAUCAAUAGAUUCCUUCAAUUCCGACAACGUUAAUAUCAGCCAACAAGACAUUGUCUUAAAGGUGCUAGGUGGACACCGCUCAGGACAUGUUAGAGGACAGUGUUGUGGUGCCAUACCUAUCUGGUCAAAUUCCUCAUCAACAUAAAACCAUGAUUAAUGCUUGGCUAAACAGCUAGAAACUGAAAAAAAAAUUAGCUGAAUCAUUAGAGAAAUGUGAAAAGUUUGAGGAAUCACAAGCUGCUAUGCAGGAAGCACAAGCUGCUUUGAAGGCUGAAAUGAACGAAUCAAAAGCAUCCCAAACUGCUUUGCAGGCAAAAAUGGAUAGGCUACUAAAACAUCUCGGAGGGUUUGGAGGGAGCUCUUAUGGAUCUCAAGCAAGCGAAAGCAAUGUCUGAGGGGGCUUUUGUUGUAUUUUGUUUAAGACUUUGUUUUGAUAUUAUAAUGAUUAUAACAAUUUUGGUUUGUAUUAGAGGGUAAGAACUUCAAAUAGUUUUCUGUUUAAGAACUUGGAGAGAGCUUUUGUUGUACUUUGUUAAGAAGUUGUCUUAAUAUUACAAAAAUUAUAACAAAUUUGGUUUGUGUUAGAAGGUAACAACUUCAACUAGUUUUUUGUUUAAGAA